rnacentral:lncRNA from 1 species
UCCUGAGUAGCUGGGACUACAAGUGCACACCACCACGCCUGGCUAAUUUUCAUAUUUUUAGUAGAGACGGGGUGUCACCAUGUUGGCCAGAAUGGUCUCAAUCUUCUGACCUUGUGAUCCACCCACCUCGGCCUCCCAAAGUGCUGGGAUUACAGGUGUGAGCCACCACGGCUGGCCUAUUUUUUUUUUUCUUUUUUUUGAGAUAGAUUCUCACUCUGUCGCCCAGGCUGGAGUGCAGUGGCUCAGUCUCAGCUCACUGCAACCUCCGUCUCCCAGGUUCAAGUGAUUCUCCUGCCUCAGCCUCUCAGGUAGCUGGGAUUACAGGCAUAUGCCACCACACUCUGCUAAUUUUUGUAUUUUUAGUGGAGACGGGGUUUCGCCUUGUCUAGGCUGGUCUUGGUCUCCUGACUUCAGGUGAUCCGCCCACCUCGGCCUCCCAAACUGCUGGGAUUACAAUCGUGAGCCACCAUGCCCAGCCUCAUUUUAUUUUUGAAACAAGGUCUCCCUCUCACCCAGGCUGGAGUGCAGUGGCAUGGUCCUGGCUCACUGCAACCUCAACCUCCCAGGCUCAAGUGAUCCUCCCACCUCAGCUUUCCGAGUAGCUGGGACCAUAAGUGGGCACUACCACACUGGGCUAAUUUUUUUUUUCUGUAGAGACAGGGUCUCGCUAUGUUGCCCAGGCUGGUCUCGAACUCCUGGGCUCAGGUGAUCCUCCCACCUCUGCCUCCCAAAGCCCUGGAAUUAUAGGCAUGAGUCACUGUGUUUGGCCCUGUUAUCCCAUUUAAAUUCUGCUCAGGCUGGUGCAGUGGCUUAUGCCUCUAAUCCCAACACUUUGGGAGGCUGAGGCAGGUGGAUCCCUUGAGGCCAGGAGUUCGAGAUCAGCCUGGACAACAUGGUGAAACCCUGUCUGUACUACAAAUACAAAAAUUAGCCAGGCGUGGUGGCGCAUGCCUGUAAUCCCAGCAACUUGGGAGGCUGAGGCAUGAGAAUCACUUGAACUCAGGAGGCAGAGGUUGCAGUGAGAUGAGAUUGUGCCACCACACUCCAGCCUGGGCAACAGAGCGAGACUCUGUCUCAAAAAUAAAUAAAAUAAAAUAAAAUUUAAAAAAAAAUUCUGCUCAAAGCUCUUAUUGCUCCCGGGAACUUCCCAUUUGAUCAUUUUCAGGUUUGUUUCCUCACCAUAAGGUGGGUCUGUAUCAGCUGACCCUUCCCACAGGAGGGAGGAGGAGUACAGGGCAAGGCGUGUAGCACAUGGCAGGUGCAUAAUAAGCACUUGAGGAGGGGAGGAAAGGAUGAGCUACAGAGAGCAGUAGAUCUGAGGUUCCAACCAGGGAAGGCAAGCCUGGUAAGGAGAGGGAGGCUGCUGGUGGCUGGGAUGGUAUUCAGAGGGGGCCUUGCUGGAAGCAGGAGGCCAAGGUGGGCCCAGCAUCCAAUCCAGCUAAGAGCAUCUCACCCUGUACCUCCCGCUCCUAAGUCUGCUGACAACCUGGAAGCAAGAAUCUAUCUUUGGCUGGCCAGGCACUGUGGCUCACGCCUGUAAUCCCAGCAUCUUUGGGAGGCCGGCGGGUGGAUCACUUGAGGUCAGGAGUUUGAGACCAUCCUGGGCAACAUGGUGAAAUGCCGUCUCUAUCAAAAAUACAAAAAUUAGCUGGACAUGGUGGCACAUGCCUGUAACCUGUAAUCCCAGCUACUUGGGAGGCUGAGGCAGGAGAAUUGUUUGAAUCUGGGAGGCGGAAGUUGCAAUGAGCCGAGAUCACGCCACUACACUCCAGCCUGGGCAACAGAAUGAGAAUCCGUCUUAAAAAAAAAAAA